UAUUCCUUUCAAAUAUACUUUGGGUCAUCCUGAAGGAAGGCCAUUUUCACUCUAUGAGGUUCCCCCUCUGCCAUUUACAGUGGAAAAUAACUGGUGCCCAAAGCAUGGCAGAGACAAUGUGGAUGUCCCUGGAGCUGAAAUACUUCAAAGAGGGGGAGAUGAGAUUUGAGUGCUGUGGAACAGUGUAGUGGCUGUCCUUGGAUUGGAAGUUUCUAAUUUCCACUACAGACAAUUUCAAGGAGAACAUCGUUAUUUUAAGGAAGACCUAUGAGAAGUUGUUUGUGCUGUUGAAGUGCAGUGACAUUUCUAACAAUGCAGUACAUGAUGUGUUUAAUUUUAUCCUUUGAAGAGCAUGUGAUAUCAAAUGCUGAGUGGCAGCUACGGAACCUCUUCGUUCUUCAGAGCAAUAUGGAAAGUGCAUUUGGGGCUGGUACACCCCAAAUAUCCACCAGCUGCUACAGAAAAUUGGAAAUAGAGAGAAUCUCCAAGCGUUUUUAAUUACAAAAUCACUUUUAAAGCCAUUUCUGAGUAAAUAUCGUUCAAACAUACCCCAUCCUGUUCUUGUUCUUUAAAAUGCAGCCUAUGCUGUACACAUUAGUGAGGAUAUGGAUGCCACGUAGCUACCAUUUUGUAGUUCAGGACUAAAAAGGACAAGCCAUUUUGGGGGCAUUUCAGAGAGCUGAAUAUUUUUUGUUCAAG
rnacentral:lncRNA from 1 species